GACGAACGCUGGCGGCGUGCUUAACACAUGCAAGUCGAACGGAAAGGCCCUGCUUUUGUGGGGUGCUCGAGUGGCGAACGGAUAAGUAACACGUGAGUAACCUGCCCUUGACUUUGGGAUAACUUCAGGAAACUGGGGCUAAUACCGGAUAGGAGCUCCUGCUGCAUGGUGGGGGUUGGAAAGUUUCGGCGGUUGGGGAUGGACUCGCGGCUUAUCAGCUUGUUGGUGGGGUAGUGGCUUACCAAGGCUUUGACGGGUAGCCGGCCUGAGAGGGUGACCGGCCACAUUGGGACUGAGAUACGGCCCAGACUCCUACGGGAGGCAGCAGUGGGGAAUAUUGCACAAUGGGCGGAAGCCUGAUGCAGCAACGCCGCGUGCGGGAUGACGGCCUUCGGGUUGUAAACCGCUUUCGCCUGUGACGAAGCGUGAGUGACGGUAAUGGGUAAAGAAGCACCGGCUAACUACGUG
rnacentral:rRNA from 1 species